rnacentral:rRNA from 1 species
CCUAUGGGUGGCAGCAGUGGGGAAUAUUGCGCAAUGGGCGAAAGCCUGACGCAGCGACGCCGCGUGAGGGAUGAAGGUCUUCGGAUCGUAAACCUCUGUCAGCAGGGAAGAACGGUCACUGUGCUAAUCAGCAGUGAAUUGACGGUACCUGCAAAGGAAGCACCGGCUAACUCCGUGCCAGCAGCCGCGGUAAUACGGAGGGUGCGAGCGUUAAUCGGAAUUACGGGGCGUAAAGCGCUCGUAGGCGGGAUGGCAAGUCAAGGGUGAAAUCCCCGCGCUCAACGUGGGAACUGCCUUUGAAACUGGCAGACUGGAGUGUGUGAGAGGAUAGUGGAAUUCCAGGUGUAGGAGUGAAAUGCGUAGAUAUCGGGAGGAACAUCAGUGGCGAAGGCGACUAGCUGGAACAUAACUGACGCUGAGGAGCGAAAGCGUGGGUAGCAAACAGGAUUAGAUACCCUUGUAGUC